rnacentral:rRNA from 1 species
AGUCGAGCGGACAGAAGGGAGCUUGCUCCCGGAUGUUAGCGGCGGACGGGUGAGUAACACGUGGGUAACCUGCCUGUAAGACUGGGAUAACUCCGGGAAACCGGAGCUAAUACCGGAUAGUUCCUUGAACCGCAUGGUUCAAGGAUGAAAGACGGUUUCGGCUGUCACUUACAGAUGGACCCGCGGCGCAUUAGCUAGUUGGUGGGGUAAUGGCUCACCAAGGCGACGAUGCGUAGCCGACCUGAGAGGGUGAUCGGCCACACUGGGACUGAGACACGGCCCAGAGUCCUACGGGAGGCAGCAGUAGGGAAUCUUCCGCAAUGGACGAAAGUCUGACGGAGCAACGCCGCGUGAGUGAUGAAGGUUUUCGGAUCGUAAAGCUCUGUUGUUAGGGAAGAACAAGUGCGAGAGUAACUGCUCGCACCUUGACGGUAACUAACCAGAAAGCCACGGCUAACUACGUGCCAGCAGCCGCGGUAAUACGUAGGUGGCAAGCGUUGUCCGGAAUUAUUGGGCGUAAAGGGCUCGCAGGCGGUUUCUUAAGUCUGAUGUGAAAGCCCCCGGCUCAACCGGGGAGGGUCAUUGGAAACUGGGAAACUUGAGUGCAGAAGAGGAGAGUGGAAUUCCACGUCUAGCGGUGAAAUGCGUAGAGAUGUGGAGGAACACCAGUGGCGAAGGCGACUCUCUGGUCUGUAACUGACGCUGAGGAGCGAAAGCGUGGGGAGCGAACAGGAUUAGAUACCCUGGUAGUCCACGCCGUAAACGAUGAGUGCUAAGUGU